UCUUCAUUUUCCACACUGUCUCACCGGUCGAUGAGGCGAGAGAGUGUAUGAAAUGAAGAGA
rnacentral:pre_miRNA from 1 species